UACGGCGAUUUUGUUUCCUUUCGUUCAGUCUGGUUGGUGCGGUUCGUGUGUGAAGAUUUUUCCUCUUGUUCUAAAGAAAAAAUAUAUAGACGGUAGUUAAUUUAAAAAAAAAUAUAUCUAUAGGAGUAUUACAGAAAAAUUAUAACUGUUAAUUAAAAUUAAUUAAAUAAAUUGAAAAGAAAAAAUAAACAGCUCAAUUGGAUUAUUAUUAGUGUUUUAGCACAGUGUGAAAAAAUACAUUUUGAAAACAAUUGGAAUUUUGACUCAAGUCAACUAAUUCAUACCAAGUUAUAAAGUGUUCAAUUAAAAAAUAAACUAAAACAACAACUAUAUUUUUGUUAUUAAACAAAUUAUAAGAAAAUUAAUUGAAUAAAUGGAUUAACAUCAUUGCAAAUAAAAAUAAGCAUUCAAGGAUAAAAAUAUAACACGUGGACUAUUAAACCAAGAAGAUAUACAAUAACACAAAAAA